rnacentral:misc_RNA from 1 species
AACCUUGAUUAUAAGGUUUACAUUAUCUAAGCUACAUAAGUUUCCUUCCAUAAAGAAGAAAUCUUUUGACCUAAUUCUGAAUCUGUUGGUUUUUUUUUUCUUAAAAAAGUAAAUAUUGCUACUUCAUGCUCAAUUUUUCAAUCCCUGUGGUUCUGUGAGUAGUGACUAACGCAUGACUACAAUUUCUGUUUAACUUAGUUGGCUAUCCUUUGUUACUCUAAAAGUGAUGUGCUCCCUGUCAAGCUAUAUUUGUUUGAGCGAUGUAAUUCACAUUUGGAUGUCCUUGGAUUUAGAUUGCAAUUUUUCAGAAAUCAAUCAAAUAAUCCUUUCUAUUAUAUUGGUGGCAUGUCAUUGGGCAAAAGUCACUCACUUUGCUUUUUGAACUUUUACAUCUCUCUUCAACAUUUUUGUAUGUGGGUUAUUGGAUUUUCAUUUGAGGAGCUUUUUGCUAAUUGUUUCAUUUUUCUCCAUAAUUUUAAUGCUGUUUGAGUUUCUUUCCUGAUGACAUUUAAAUUAUUUCUUUAUUUUGUUGAAUCUUGAUAUUUGUUGAAGCUUGAAGUGUCUAGUUUAAAAUUCUACCUUUUCUGUAGGACGAGGACACAGCAAAAUUAU